rnacentral:rRNA from 1 species
GACGUAGGGCGCGAGCGUUGUCCGGAUUUAUUGGGCGUAAAGAGCUCGUAGGCGGCUUGUCGCGUCGACUGUGAAACCCGCGGCUUAACUGCGGGACUGCAGUCGAUACGGGCAGGCUAGAGUUCGGUAGGGGAGACUGGAAUUCCUGGUGUAGCGGUGAAAUGCGCAGAUAUCGGGAAGAACACCCGUGGCGAAGGCGGUUCGCUGGGACGGUACUGACGCUGAGACGCGGAAAGCGUGGGGAGCGAACAGG